AGGAGCCUGGUGGGCUCCAAUCUGUAGGGUCUCAGAGUGGGACACAACUGAGGUGACUUAGCAUGCAUUCAUACAUAGGAAUAUUUAUACUAUGGAAAUUGGCUAAUUCUAGUAGGGCUUUUCUUCCUCCCAUUUUCCCCUCCAUCUUUUCUUCACUCUCUACCCCUCUUUCUUCCUUCCUUCCUUUAUUUCUUUUCCCCUUAGGACAUGCAUACUACUGUUGAUUGAGGAGGAAAGGUAUUAAAUGCAGUUCUGUGUCUCACUGUAACAUGAGCUCAUUCUACGUGUCAUGUCAUAAGUCGUCCCAUACCCAACUAAUUCUGGCGAUUUAAGCUACAGUCUUUCACAGAUAUUGUGGCUGUUUACCUUUUAGAUGAUAAAAAUAAGAUUAAAUCUAAAUCUCCUGUGGGUUCCUUUUCUUCCCAGAGAAUAUAAAGCAGCUAAUAUCAGCAUCAACUUAUACGUCGUCAAUGAACCUUGGCUUUUCUCAUUGGUCUGGUGCUCCAGUAUUCACUCCGUGACCACAGACAACAUUAAAGUCCUGAAUGAGAUGAAUUACCCUUACUACUUCAUGACACCAAAUUUCUAUAUGUUCUUGUGGGUUUUCAUGGAUAUUCUUUCUGCAGUUUUCAUUGUUUCCAUAUUUUGUUUUCAUUGGUGGAGAGCGAGCCAGAGUGAAAAAAUUCGCCAGGGUAUCACCAGUUACACAGGUAAAAUCAGAGGCCUAGCCCCCUCUCAUCUCUUCAUCCUUCCCCAUUGCCUCCAUGAGGCAGGGCUUGCUUUUAAUAUUUCUGACAAGAGUUGAAGGGAGUCUGAAGUUACAGGGUGGAUACCACUAAGAAGCUGGGCAAAAACAGGCUGUGCACAGACUCUGAGGCCCUUGACGUCAGAUUACAUUGUGGACUUUAUCCUCUAAGCAGUGAGACUCCUUGGAAGAUUUUGAACAUGGUUGUAUGUUUGCUUGUCAUAUAUUCAUUCAUCACAUGAUUAUAAAAUACUGACUUUGUGCCAGGCAGUGUGAAACUGAAGUACCCGAAAGCUUUGUAUAUGGAAGGUGUCUCGAGAACAGAGGCUCUGUCCACAGAGAGCCAGUGAGGAAGCAGGAAAAGGUACAGCAGCCGUUGACAUCUCUGGUUCAGCUAUCUAGUUCCAGGACAGAGAAGCUGCCAUGCUCCUCAGGGCUGAAUGUGCUUUUUGUGGCUUCAGUUGUGAUGUAUGUUGGAAGGUGGAAGCAGAAAAUUGCCAAGAUCCUGGAAUGCUGGACUAGAGUCUAGACUCUGCAUAUAAACAUCAGGAAAUGGCAAGUGAGUUUCAGACAAGGGAGCAGUAUGCUUAGACACUUGUGUAAAGGGAUUGAAUAGCAGAAUAACUUAUUAAUCAGCAGAAUAACUCAGGACUGAGUAAGUGGGAUAGGUCCAGUAAGGGACCUAGAGUUUAGAGUUUAUUAUUCAGGAGGUUGUGGGGAUAAUCACACAGUGAGUUACUGGCUUGGGAAGCCAGUGCAAUGUUAAAGGGAAAACCAGUUAGGAGGCAGAAGACUAUGCAGUCCAUGAUACAGUUUCCUCCCAUUGCUCUUGGAGUCUUUAAGUAAAGUUGAUAAUAGUCAAAAAUGAUUAAUUAAUUUCUUGUGAACAGUUGUGAAGAUGAUGAGAUACUUUGUAUUAACCAUCAGUCUUCAAGAUAUACAUUACUUAGACUUUCAAGAAUGUAUCCACAGUGACUAUGAAAAAAUAAGAAAUUUGAAGGGUAAUGGCUUUUUGCAUUGUAAAACUUUCGUAUUGCAAAAUCACCCAAAUUUGUUAAGAUAUAGAGUAGUCUCCAGUGACUCUGAGUUUUGUGGAUUUUAGAAAGGUCACUCUGUGGGCUGUUAAGGAGACUGAAGGCUGUGUUCCAGCUGCCUUAUGAUAUUCAGAAGUUAUAUCAGUAAACUAGGGCUUCCAAAACAAAAUACCGUAGACCUGGUGCCUUAAACAACAGAAGUUGAUUUUUCUAACAUUUCUGGAGGCUGGAGGUGCAGGACCAACGUGUUAGCAGGUGUGGUUUCUUCUGAGGCUUCUCUGAUUGACUUGCUGGUAGACUGUUUGUUGCUGUGUCAUCCAUCACACUGCCCUUCCUCUGUGCCCACACAAACCCCCAGUGUCAUCUGUGUCUCCAGGUUUUCUCUUCUUUGAUCAGACUGGAUCAGGACUCACCAUAAUGGCCUCAUUUUAAUCAUGCCUUUAAAAGCUUUAUCUCCUAAAUUAGUCCUAUAUUGAAGUGCUAUGGUUAGGGCUUCAACAUAGGAGUUUGUGUGGCACACAGUUCAGCCCAUAAUAGUAAUCUAAUCAAGAAAUAAAAAGAAUAUGGAAUUUGUGUAGAAAGCACGGAUGGGAUACAAGUUCUGAAGGAAAGUUCAAAGAACCAUUUAAAUUUGAAUGAAGAAAGGUGGGUAUCAUACCUUAGAAGAUAUAUUAACUUGACAACAGCUUCCCAUGAGAAUAAGAAAAUAAGUUGAGUAGAUAAAAACUAAGAAUCUUUCAUGUUUUUAAUUUUUAGUUGCUUAUUUACAGAAACCAAUUUUGCCUGAUCUAAAUAAAUAUAUAGAAAGACCGUUUGAGUACCUAAAAGAGACAACUAGAAGGCAAGGGAUGAAGUUUAGUAUCAGGGAAUGAAUAAGGAUGACUGGAAAGAAGCCAUAACCACUACCUAGAACCAUCAGUCCAGUUCAGUUGCUCAGUCAUGUCCAACACUUUGCAACCCCAUGGACUGCAGCA